rnacentral:rRNA from 1 species
AGCGAACGCUGGCGGCAGGCUUAACACAUGCAAGUCGAACGGGCAUCUUCGGAUGUCAGUGGCAGACGGGUGAGUAACACGUGGGAACGUACCCUUCGGUUCGGAAUAACUCAGGGAAACUUGAGCUAAUACCGGAUACGCCCUUUUGGGGAAAGGUUUACUGCCGAAGGAUCGGCCCGCGUCUGAUUAGCUUGUUGGUGGGGUAACGGCCUACCAAGGCGACGAUCAGUAGCUGGUCUGAGAGGAUGAUCAGCCACACUGGGACUGAGACACGGCCCAGACUCCUACGGGAGGCAGCAGUGGGGAAUAUUGGACAAUGGGCGCAAGCCUGAUCCAGCCAUGCCGCGUGAGUGAUGAAGGCCUUAGGGUGGUAAAGCUCUUUUGUCCGGGACGAUAAUGACGGUACCGGAAGAAUAAGCCCCGGCUAACUUCGU